rnacentral:rRNA from 1 species
CUACGGGUCGCAGCAGUGGGGAAUAUUGGACAAUGGGGGAAACCCUGAUCCAGCAAUGCCGCGUGUGUGAAGAAGGCCUGCGGGUUGUAAAGCACUUUCGGUUGGGAGGACUGCUUCUAGCACUAAUAUUGUUGGAAGUUGACGUUACCUUCAGAAGAAGCACCGGCUAACUCCGCGCCAGCAGCCGCGGUAAUACGGAGGGUGCAUGCGUUACUCGGAAUUACUGGGCGUAAAGCGCGCGUAGGCGGCUAGAUCAGUCGGGUGUGAAAGCCCCGGGCUUAACCUGGGAACUGCAUCCGAUACUGUCUAGCUUGAGUACAGGAGAGGAGAGUGGAAUUCCACAUGUAGCGGUGAAAUGCGUAGAUAUGUGGAGGAACACCAAUGGCGAAGGCAGCUCUCUGGCCUGAUACUGACGCUGAGGUGCGAAAGCGUGGGGAGCAAACAGGAUUAGAUGCCCUAGUAGUC